rnacentral:rRNA from 1 species
GGGGGGGGGGGGGGGGGGGCGGGGGGGGGGGGGGGCGGGCGGGGGGGGCGGGGGGUGGUGGGGGGCGCGGGGGGGGAGCGGGGGGGUAACGCGUGGGUAGCCGGCCCUUGACUGUGGGGGAACUUCAGGACACUUGGUCUAGUCCCGGAUAGGAGCUCCUGCUGCAUGGGGGGGGUUGGACAGUUUCGGCGGUUGGGGAUGGACUCGCGGCGUAUCAGCUUGUUGGCGGGGUAGUGGCUUACCAAGGCUUUGCCGGGUAGCCGGCCUGAGAGGGUGACCGGCCACAUUGGGACUGAGAUACGGCCCAGACUCCGACGGGAGGCAGCAGUGGGGAAUAUUGCACAAUGGGCGGAAGCCUGAUGCAGCAACGCCGCGUGCGGGAUGACGGCCUUCGGGUUGUAAACCGCUUUCGCCUGUGACGAAGCGUGAGUGACGGUAAUGGGUAAAGAAGCACCGGCUAACUACGUG